AUGAAGGUGUACUGGGCGGGGUGUCUCCAGACAGCCUGUGCUCUACAGGGUAAAAGGUGCCAGGUGAGAUGCCCAGGAUCAGUUGGCGUACUGGGCAUAGAAGGCCACCUUGACCCUCUCUAUCUGGUGACACAGCUUGAUGGCCGGACCCAGCUUCAGCUCCAUACACUCCUGGACUGUGGGCAGGGUCAGCAACAACAACGCCUGGCCAUCUAUGUCCUGCAGAGACAAUAAGGACAGAGAGACAGAGAAUAUGGACAGAGAGACAGAGACAGAGAAUCAGGACAGAGAGACAGAGGAAAGGAUGACAAUGUCAAUGAUAAUGUGAAGAGAGAGUCUGUACAUCAAACAAGAAAGUGUGUUGAAUUGGGGACGUGUGUGUCUGCAUGUAUUUCAGAGUGUGUGUGUGUACCUGCUCCUGGAAGAUGUUGGCGAGAGCAGCACAGUCGGUGGAGGUGAUGAAGGUGACCACAUCUUCUACGGACCACUCCAGAGGGUUCCUCUCCAACACCAGCCGGCACUCCGCCUCACUACACUCCACCUGGAGGGCCACAGGACACAUGGCCACAAAGAUUCAUCUCCAUACAGGACCUUUAUCGACUGGAUAUGACAGCCGGACGCCAUUUACUGACCAUAUCUGGGCCACCCGGCCACCAGGGAGCCAAAGAACCUGUCAAAUACUUAAUCACAUCUGCAUUAAUGUGGGUCUGUGUAUGUGUGUGUCUCUGCGUGUAGCAUUUGCUCUCACCUGCAUCUCCUGUCUCUUGGGUGGGUGGUACUUGUUCCCCUGGUUAUAUGACAGGGACCGAGUGCUCCGCCUCCUGCUUUCAGGACCCUCACGGCUGCCCGAAGCUAUGCCGGUAUGGGUGGCCCUGCGUAGCGCCACGGUGCGCCGCGGCCGGCUGUUAGCCACCUCCACAGAGGAUGUGUCUAUGUGGUCCUCGUGUGGCUCAGAGCUGGUGCCUUCUUCACUGCCCGACUGCAACAUAAGAUCAUCUUCAUCCUCGUCUUCAUCACUGUCCUGUAGGGAGUUAUAGGGUCCAUCUUAGUGCAGUGACAAUCAAGUCCAUUAUAUAAUAGAGAAAGACACACAAAGAGAGAGAGAAAGAGACGAGACAAGAGACACACGAAGAGAGAGAGAGAAAGAGACACGAAGAGAGAGAGAAAGAGAGACACACGGAGACACAGAGAGAGACAGAGACAGAGAAAAAGAGACAGAGAGAAAGCAAGAGAGACACAGACAGAAAGAGAGACAGAGAGAAAGAGACACAGAGAAAGCGAGAGAGACACACAGACAGAAAGAGAGACAGAGAGAAAGAGAGACGGAGAGAAAGAGAGAGACACACAAAGGGAGAGAGAAAGAGACACGAAAAGAGAAAGAGACACCCACAGAGAGAGCGAGAAAGAAAGAAAACGAAAAAGAGAGGGGGAGGGGAACACAGCCUUCACUCUUACACACAAGAGAAAGAGACACGGAGAGAGCGACAGACAGACAUAGAUGGAGAGCUCUGUCAGACCUGUGGUGACCCUGCAGGAGUGUAGUCCACUGCAGACGAGCGCCGUUUCUUCUGGACAAAGAUGGCCUUCCUCUUCUUCCUGCGUCGUGUGGGUUUGGCCUCCAGACUCUCCUCUCCUCCAAACGGCUUAGACAGCUUCUUCUUCUUACCGUAGUAAUACGCUGGGGACACAACACUCAACACAGUUCAUAUGGGCUCAAUUCUGAUGCAGGCAUAUGCCGCUCUACCUCCUCCAGAGUCUGUUGCUAGUUUUCUGAUCCCAUAGGACUCUGGUCAACAGUAGUGGGAAUAGAUUUGGAUGCAACCAGUAUGUUGAUGUUCCUCUACCUACCUCUUUGAGGACCAGAGUGCAUUUCCCCGGCCCUACAGCCUGUGGCAGCUCAGCGAUGCGCCCCUUGUUCAGGUAAGGGCCAGAGAAACAGUGGUGGUUCACGUAGAUCCUGGAACAACAGUAUCUCCCAUUGGCUGAGCCUGGGGAGGAGAGAGAGAAGCAUCAUGGGACAUCAGACAAUCAUCCAAUGACAGACAGGUAUAAGAAUGUCAGGCAGCCUAUCAAGUUCAAACUCUUGAUAGACUAUAUAGAAGUCCAAUUAGUUUAGACAGGCAGCCCAAUUGUGAUAUUUUUUCUUACUAAUUUGCCUUUUGACAGAUCAGAUCAGCCCUGAAAAAGAUCAGACAAAUGAGUGGAAAAAACAUCAGAAUUGGGCUGCCUGUGUAAAAGCAGCCCAACACUUACAUUAUGUAUGACUUGUUCUAAAACUCCACUGGCUUGUUAACGAGGCUUGUAUUCGAGGUGUGCUGUACAUAAUGUAGUGUGAUGCCACGCCUCAGUUUACACUUUGUUACUCAUACAACUGGAGCUCCGGUUGAAUAGUAAUUAGACAAAUUAUAAAUAUGCAUGAGCAAGUUACUUUUUUUUACAGAACUUAGAAGGGCAUGAGUCUCUCAUGGACACAAUACUGAUGUACCCCCCCCCCCCGCACACACACACACAAACACUAAAUAAACAGAACAUUGGCUGUGUAAAAUGUUGAGGAGUGCUAACAGAAGUGUAAUAUUGAUUAAUAUGUAGAAGCUUGUUCGAACUUAACAUUUUCUGAGACAAGCUGUGAGGUACCAACCGUGAUUGUGAAGAGCAACUGUUAGACAGACGAAUGUUGUUUGUUCAUAAAUAUGAAUCUGCUUUGAAACAGGUGUGGCGCACACACACACACACACACUCUCUCUCUCUCUCUCUCUCUCUCUCUCUACAGGGCUUUUCCAUGCUAAUCAUGAUCAUCAUUAACUCUCAUUUUCAUUAAUAGCUGUAAAUAAAUCAUCUCAUAUUUUAAUUAUGAAUCUUGUUUACCUGUGUCCAUGGCAACGGGCUCGCAGAGGUCGAGAGGGAUUGUCUCCACGGGUUGCGGCGGAGCCAACCUACAGACGGAAUAUCAAUCAACCCAUGAGCCAAUCAAUCAAUCGAGUGAACAGCAAAGUCGUCCAAUCAAAGACACAGCUAUUUAAGACCCUGUCAGAUUUAGCUGAGUGUGAUAUAUGUCCUUCCCCUAACACAACUGAACAACAAUGUAAAACAAUGAGGGCUAUUGAUGAAUGAGUCCCUUGGGUGAGAGAUAUGGUAAAAGAGGUUAGACGAGAGAGGUUGACAAAGUGUUACUGAAAGCCUCAUAUGUCGUCUCUGAACGACCACUACCCUGAUCCUUCAGACCUGCGUUUCCCAGCCGCGACUGAAACAUGUCAUGUGUCAAUAAUAAAUCUGUCCUCUGAAAAUAAAA